UUGAUCUGGCUCAGAUUGAACGCUGGCGGGAUGCUUUACAUGCAAGUCGAACGGCAGCACCCGGACUCCCGGUCUGGUGGCGAGUGGCGAACGGGUGAGUAAUGUAUCGGAACGUGCCCUAAUGUGAGGGGAUAACUGCGCGAAAGCGUAGCUAAUACCGCACAUGCACGCCCCUUCGGGAGAAAGCAGAGGACCUUCGGGCCUCGCACUAUUAGAGCGGCCGAUAUCGGAUUAGCUAGUUGGUGGGGUAACGGCUCGCAAGGCGGCGAUCCGUAGCUGGUUUGAGAGGACGACCAGCCACACUGGGACUGAAGCCUGGCCGGGCUCCUGCGGGAAGGCAGCAGUGAAAUUUUGGACAAUGGGGGAAACCCUGGUCCAGCCAUCCCGCGUGUGCGAUAGGGCCUUCGGGUUGUAAAACCUUUUUGGCAGGAAAGAAACGGCGCAGGAUAAUACCCCGUGCGGCUGACUUGCACCUGCAGAAUAGCGCAAGCUAACUACGUUGCCAGCAGCCGCGGUAAUGCGUAGGGUGCAAGCGUUAAUCGGAAUUACUGGGCGUAAAGCGUGCGCAGGCGGUUCGGAAAGAAAGAUGUGAAAUCCCAGAGCUUAACUUUGGAACUGCAUUUUUCUUCGACUGAAGUGUGUCAGAGGGAGGUGGAAUUCCACGCGUGUAGCAGUGAAAUGCAUGCAGAUAUGGAGACACCGAUGGCGAGCAGCCUCCUGGGAUAACACUGACGCUCAUGCACGAAAGCGUGGGGAGCAAGCAGGAUUAGAUACCCCCUGGUAGUCCACGCCCUAAACGAUGUCAACUAGCUGUUGGGGCCUUCGGGCCUUGGUAGCGCAGCCUAACGCGUGAAGUUGACCGCCUGGGAAGUACGGUCGCAAGAUUAAACUCAAAGGAAUUGACGGGGACCCGCACAAGCGGUGGAUGAUGUGGAUUAAUUCGAUGCAACGCGAAAACCUACCCUUGACAUGUCUGGAAUCCCGAAGAGAUUUGGGAGUGCUCGCAAGAGAACCGGAACACAGGUGCUUUCAUGGCUGUCGUCAGCUCGUGUCGUGAGAUGUUGGGUUAAGUCCGCAACGAGCGCAACCCUUGUCAUUAGUUGCUACGAAAGGGCACUCUAAUGAGACUGCCGGUGACAAACCGGAGGAAGGUGGGGAUGACGUCAAGUCCUCAUGGCCCUUAUGGGUAGGGCUUCACACGUCAUACAAUGGUCAGAGGGUCGCCAACCCGCGAGGAGCCAAUCAGACCCGAUCGUAGUCCGGAUCGCAGUCUGCAGCUCGACUGCGUGAAGUCAGAAUCGCUAGUAAUCGCGGAUCAGCAUGUCGCGGUGAAUACGUUCCCGGGUCUUCUGCACCACCGCCCGUCACACCAUGGGAGUGGGUUUUACCAGAAGUAGUUAGCCCCUAACCGUAAGGAGGUAUUCCCGGUAGGAUUCAUGACUGGGGUGAAGUCGUAACAAGGUA
rnacentral:rRNA from 1 species